rnacentral:rRNA from 1 species
UACGGAGGGUGCAAGCGUUAAUCGGAAUUACUGGGCGUAAAGCGCACGUAGGCGGUAAGUUAAGUUGGAUGUGAAAGCCCCGGGCUCAACCUGGGAAUUGCAUUCAAAACUGGCUCGCUAGAGUAUGUGAGAGGGGGGUAGAAUUCCAAGUGUAGCGGUGAAAUGCGUAGAGAUUUGGAGGAAUACCAGUGGCGAAGGCGGCCCCCUGGCACAAUACUGACGCUGAGGUGCGAAAGCGUGGGGAUCAAACAGGAUUAGAUACCCUGGUAGUCCACGCCGUAAACGAUGUCUACUAGCUGUUCGUGGUCUUGUACCGUGAGUAGCGCAGCUAACGCACUAAGUAGACCGCCUGGGGAGUACGGUCGCAAGAUUAAA